AUACGUAGGGGGCAAGCGUUGUCCGGAUUUAUUGGGCGUAAAGCGAGCGCAGGCGGUUUCUUAAGUCUGAUGUGAAAGCCCCCGGCUCAACCGGGGAGGGUCAUUGGAAACUGGGAGACUUGAGUGCAGAAGAGGAGAGUGGAAUUCCAUGUGUAGCGGUGAAAUGCGUAGAUAUAUGGAGGAACACCAGUGGCGAAGGCGACUCUCUGGUCUGUAACUGACGCUGAGGCGCGAAAGCGUGGGGAGCAAACAGGAUUAGAUACCCUGGUAGUCCACGCCGUAAACGAUGAGUGCUAAGUGUUGGGGGGUUUCCGCCCUUCAGUGCUGCAGCUAACGCAUUAAGCACUCCGCCUGGGGAGUACGACCGCAAGGUUGAAACUCAAAGGAAUUGACGGGG
rnacentral:rRNA from 1 species